rnacentral:piRNA from 1 species
UGACAAUUUGCAGUGUGCACCCUGCCCACCU